GUCUCCGUAGUUCAACGGAUAGAACGCGGGCCUCCGGAGCUCGUAAUGGCAGUUCGAAUCUGCCCGGAGACA
rnacentral:tRNA from 1 species